AUGGCUGGGAGUCAGAGUUUGCCAUUCUGGGGUGGCAUCUGUUUCAUUUUUUUCUUGAAGAUUCAAAUUUCAUCAAGUACAGGCCCAAGGCUCUAUCCACUGGGCAAACUAGCUGCCUUCAGGAGGGAAGUGGGGAGACAUGACAAAUUUUUGGUGACAACUGGGGCCUCUCCAGCUGAGGCACAGACCCCAUCUCCCACUCUUAGAUCAUCGGCUCUUUCCAUCCUCUCUGGCUCCCACUACCGCCUGAGAAAAGGGUGGACCAGAAACCGCAACCUUGUACCCCCUAUGCCUAAGCAGCAACCCUGGGUUCCUGAAUGGCUACACAGGAAGGCAGUUGCAUUAAAACAUGCCCAAUGGGUUCCCUUCAACAGCACUUCCCAUAACCCAAAGAUCACCUUGCACCUUAGGGAUAUCCAGCCCCCUCUUGAGCAGCAGGUGGAUACUAUGGGAUCAAAGUCUACUCCUCAAGAGCAACAAGCUCCUAAGGUCAUCUGGACAGCUCCAGGUGUGAUCCAUAAACCUCAAUACUGCAACAUUACCUCUUCUCAACCCCAACAAGGGCAAUUUGACAUAGAUAAAUUCUGUCUCCUUUGGAGAACUCUCCAUCGCCAGUCAAAGAAAGUGAUACCCCCACCUUCCAGGCCCAGGAAACCCCGACAUCAUCAUGGCUUGCCUUUAUGGGUUGGGAUUUAUCACAUGACAACUAUGGCUCCCCAGCACCAUCUAAUAGAGAAGGACACCAUGACAGCAUUUCUCACCCCACUGGCUUCAUCCAGAGUCAACUGACCACUACCACCACUAACAAAUAAUCCUCAACGACUGACUUCCUCAAGAGUCACUCUGCAUUAUUCCAACCCCUGCCCAGAACACUGGGGACCACCACAAAAAUGCCAUAUACUAAGCUUAGGAGACAAGUUUCCUUCUGCUAUAAUUUAGAACUCCCAAGCUCCAGCUUUAGAGGUAAAAGGCCACAACACCACCAUGGCUAUCUCUGGAAAGAUUCAGAACCUGAACAUUGCAACCCCCAGCACUCUCUGACCAGAUUUCUCCUGUGGCAGCCCAGGUCUCUCCAACACACAAUGAGGAUACAGAAGUACAGAGCCCCUCUCAGAAAACUACCUCCAUCCUGCCACAUUCCAGACUCAAGUUGGGGUUCCCGCCAACACCACAUCCUGACAUCAUAACCUGACCUUGGUCACUGCAAUUGCUGACUUCUUCCAGGGUCACCUCAAACCCCUCCAGACAGCUACUAAACUCCCAAGAUUCACAAGAGGCCAACUUCUUUCCAUUCAUAGUCAACCAGAAGUAUAGACAACACCAACCUAUCCUGAGAAGGCAAGAACCAGUGACUGUGCCACCUUUCUUUCAGCAAAGAAGUAUCUCUAGCAGUAUCCUGGACCUCAGAGAAGGGAAGCCUCUACAUACCCACUUCCCAACCUCUCAAACAGAGCUUUCUCCUUUGACAACCUCUUCCUCUGUGAUGAUGAACCAACCCUUCUCUCACUGCCACUUUGCAUCUUCGAAUGGAGCCCCCAAACUCCACAGCUAAAUAGCUUUCUACUCCUUCCUGUUGUGAACCUAGCUUCCAGGGGCCUUCUGGGGCAACAUAAUCCCAGGGCUUUAACAGAAGACUGAACAGUCAAACCGUCUACCUACCUUAUUGGACUUUUCCUCAUACACUGAUAUCUAAAAUCAGUCUAGACUCAUUUGUCAAUGGUUUGACAAUUCCAACACCAUUUACUCUCCUCAUUCAAUAUUAGCCUGAACUUGGACUAGACAUGAAUAAAUCCUGUUCUUGAGACCUGUUGUCUUCUCCC
ensembl:lncRNA